GUUAAAAGCUAGGGCUAGGACUUGGAGGAUGUGUAGGCAAACGGAAGAAGAGCCGGGGGAAGAAAAACCGAAAUGGAUUCAUUCUCUGUCCUGGAUGGAGGAGGAGAGGAGAAGAGAAGGGGACGUGUGAGCUUCCUUCAACUGCCUCUGUCCGGUGAAAGAAAAAUUGCGCCCACCCCCGGGGGCCUGGGGGGGGCUCAGGAGUCCGGGCGGACUUUCGCUUUAAGCUGCCAAUCAAACCGCUAACUAGCCACCACCCUGCUCUGGCACCGACAU
rfam:Phoenicopterus ruber ruber contig30726, whole genome shotgun sequence.